CACUCCCACAUGCAGCUCCUCGUGGUGCUUUAUCCUCAGAUGUGAGAUGGUCUAGAAUGGGUGUAACACAUGGUCCACAGUGUAGCUUAAUCCUUCUGCUCUGGCUCACUGGUUUAACUAGCGGGGCUGAUGUCACCCAGCUUCGCACAAUGUGGAAGCACCAGGGUGAAAAUGCAGAAAUAAGCUGCAGCCACAAUAAGGGUGCUAGCUACUACCAGAUGUACUGGUACCGGCAGCUGCCGGGACAAACCAUCAAACAAAUGGUGUACACCACUGCAAACAGCCAACCAGAGUUUGAACCCGAGUUCAGAAGCGAGAAAUUCUCAGCCACCAAGAAAGAAGCCGAGAGCGGGACGGUCACCGUGACGGAUGUGCAGCCGGGAGACAGCGGCUGGUAUUUCUGCGCCGUCAGUGAGCACAGUGACGAAGACGCACUGAGCAGCUGAACAAAAACCCCGCAG